rnacentral:rRNA from 1 species
GCACAAGCGGUGGAUGAUGUGGAUUAAUUCGAUGCAACGCGAAGAACCUUACCUACCCUUGACAUGUCCGGAACUUGCCAGAGAUGGCUCGGUGCCCGAAAGGGAAUCGGAACACAGGUGCUGCAUGGCUGUCGUCAGCUCGUGUCGUGAGAUGUUGGGUUAAGUCCCGCAACGAGCGCAACCCUUAUCAUUAGUUGCUACGCAAGGGCACUCUAAUGAGACUGCCGGUGACAAACCGGAGGAAGGUGGGGAUGACGUCAAGUCCUCAUGGCCCUUAUGGGUAGGGCUUCACACGUCAUACAAUGGUCGGUACAGAGGGUUGCCAAGCCGCGAGGCGGAGCCAAUCCCACAAAGCCGAUCGUAGUCCGGAUUGUUCUCUGCAACUCGAGAGCAUGAAGUCGGAAUCGCUAGUAACCGCAGGUCAGCAUACUGCGGUGAAUACGUUCCCGGGUCUU